UUGAAGUUUUCGAUUUGCAUUUACGUGAAGGCGGGAGGCAUGUGGAAGAGGGCGGGCUGCAUUUGUUCCCUGCCUUUGUUCGAUGACGCGUGCGGUGAAAAUGGGGGAAAUGUCUUAUGUGCUGCUUUGGAGCCGGAGCUGAGGAUUUGUUGAUUACCUCCCAUUUACCAGGAUUACAGCAAAUUAGAUUUAACUGUGACUGGCAUGGGAACUAUCUGAUGUCGACAUGGAUGAGGAAUAUUGCUAUAUAAACCACAAGACUGGACAAAGACUCACAAGAGUCUGCGGAUCACAAGACCCACCUGUGAAGCAGAGGCUCUCUGGUUUGAUUGCAUUAUGGAAAAGACACAGUUUUACAAGCUGAAACCAAAUCACGAGGAUAGAGAUAGCUUGCAAAAUUGCAGGGAGGGAAAGUGGUGGGGUAGGGAAGGAGACCCUAGAGAGAAUGGGGACAAACAGACGACCUGAAGUAGAGGAUAAGAUGAGGAGGCUUCCAAACUGUGUCAAGGGCACCAAUAUGGGGGGGAAGCAGGAGGGAAUGCAAAUUGUUAACUAUUCCACAAUUUAAUGAACAGUGUACUAAUAUGUGUACUAUUUCUACUCUGUCACCAACUUAAUUCAAGUCCAAGGUCUCAGAGACAGAAUGCUGGAAUAUAAUUCUAGAACUGUGCCAAUAAACAAUAAAUCAAAGUCCAUAGUUUUUCUCAUCACGUAAAAUUGUCAUAUUAAAGUUACAAACAUUCUCUCCA